CAUGGAGGAGAAGUCUGGUCUUUUCGCCGAGGCCAGCCUGUCGCUGGAGGGAUCCUGUUGCCUGCAGUUCCGGGACCCUCCAAUUAAGCGGCAGGGGUUUUGGUCGGUAGUGCACCCCCAAGUGCUAAGCCGACAUAUGGUCUAGGAAUGCCUACCCGGGCAUCCUGGAUAUCACCCGUAAAUGGGUUACCCUGCGAUAUCAAUAAAAAAAAAAAAAAAAAAAAAAAAAAAAAAAAAAAAAAAAAAAAAAAAAAAAAAAAAAAAAAGAAAAGAAAAAAAAAUACAACAAAUUUUUUUAAACCAAAUAUAGUAUAAGAAAAAAAAGUUUGUAAUAGUUCAAUUGAAAAUAAUAAUUAUUUAUAGGGUUUAAUAGUUGCUGAUAAAGUAUAUCCAGCACAUAAGUUGCUGAUAGGUUUUAUCAACAG
rnacentral:misc_RNA from 1 species